rnacentral:rRNA from 1 species
UCCGCAGGCGGGCAAUUAAGUCAGAGGUGAAAUCCCACAGCUCAACUGUGGAACUGCCUUUGAUACUGGUUGUCUUGAGUUAUAGUGAAGUAGAUAGAAUAUGUAGUGUAGCGGUGAAAUGCAUAGAUAUUACAUAGAAUACCGAUUGCGAAGGCAGUCUACUAACUAUAUACUGACGCUGAUGGUCGAAAGCGUGGGGAGCGAACAGGAUUAGAUACCCUGGUAGUCC